rnacentral:rRNA from 1 species
GAUGAACGCUGGCGGCGUGCCUAAUACAUGCAAGUCGAGCGAACGGACGAGGAGCUUGCUCCUCUGACGUUAGCGGCGGACGGGUGAGUAACACGUGGAUAACCUACCUAUAAGACUGGGAUAACUUCGGGAAACCGGAGCUAAUACCGGAUAAUAUAUUGAACCGCAUGGUUCAAUAGUGAAAGACGGUUUUGCUGUCACUUAUAGAUGGAUCCGCGCCGCAUUAGCUAGUUGGUAAGGUAACGGCUUACCAAGGCAACGAUGCGUAGCCGACCUGAGAGGGUGAUCGGCCACACUGGAACUGAGACACGGUCCAGACUCCUACGGGAGGCAGCAGUAGGGAAUCUUCCGCAAUGGGCGAAAGCCUGACGGGGCAACGCCGCGUGAGUGAUGAAGGUCUUCGGAUCGUAAAACUCUGUUAUUAGGGAAGAACAAAUGUGUAAGUAACUAUGCACGUCUUGACGGUACCUAAUCAGAAAGCCACGGCUAACUACGUG